CGUAGGGGGCGAGCGUUGUCCGAAGUUAUUGGGCGUAAAGGGCGCGUAGGUGGCCCGGUCAGUCUUUGGUGAAAGCGCGGGGCUCAACCCUGCGUCGGCCAGGGAUACUGCCGCGGCUCGAGCACUGUAGAGGCAGGCGGAAUUCCGGGUGUAGCGGUGGAAUGCGUAGAGAUCCGGAAGAACACCGGUGGCGAAGGCGGCCUGCUGGGCAGUUUGACUGACACUGAGGCGCGACAGCGUGGGGAGCAAACAGGAUUAGAUACCCUGGUAGUCCACGCCGUAAACGAUGGGCACUAGGCGCUUGGGGGGAGCGACCCCCCGAGGGCCGGCGCUAACGCAUUAAGUGCCCCGCCUGGGGAGUACGGCCGCAAGGCUG
rnacentral:rRNA from 1 species